CAAACAUGAUACGCUCAAUUCUAUAAAGAGAUGAACAAGGAGGGGGUGUACUACGUAGGUUGUCCAGAAGAAGCACACCUUGCUCUAAAACCAAUCGGAGGUUGGAUGAAAAAUGUCCGGAGAAAUAAAUCCCCUCAAUGUCUUACAUACUCCCUCUCCUCGCUGCCUCCACGCUCUUCUUUUCCAACCCUAGCACUUUCACCAGUCUUUUUAACACUCCGCCACCCUUAUUCUUCCCAAACUUGAUGUGCUUCAUCGACACGCUAUCUACGCUCGCAUCGUCAUCCGACUUUGUGCAAGUCCCACUGAUGAUUAAGGCAUGCGCGGGGAUGCUCUCGUUGUCCUUGGACUGCUGGAUAUGCACGUCCGGCUCGACCUCCUCGGUGAUAGUCAUGCUACCCAUGGAGGAAAAGGAGUCGUUUGAGCCUAUUGACGAGGCCGAACUAACCCGUCGCAUGAAUGCUGGACGAGGGGGAGACAAUGGCGGAAUUGCAUCGUGAUCUUCAUCGUUCAGCUGGAGCUCUUGCUUGGACGUUUCUGCGAGGGUCGCUAGACGGUCCUGGGAAGAGAACUGGGAUUGCGAAAGGCGAGAGGAGGAGGAAGGCUGGCGUGAGUGAGAGAAACGGCGCAUAGUCCUGUCAGAGCCAUUGGAAGAUAAGGAAGUGAUGGAGGAGGAUGAAUCGUUGGAGGAUGAGAAAAGACUCCCCCGUGAUUUUAGGGAAAGGGAAGAAGAGGAACGUUUGGCAGCAACUGGCAUGACGACUCCAGACUUCCGAAGUCCUGACCGAGAGAAUUUCGGUAUGGUAGGAUCAACCAAAUCGGGCUGAGAAGGAGACUCAGGCCUGGCUGGUUCGUGUUGUGGCACAGAGUCUGCCCAAAGGCAAGAUUUACUGUAAUCACUCGGUCUUCUUGUAUGAGUCGGACCUGUAGGAGAAGUAGGAGGAGAGAGAGGUCGAUCACCAGAUUGAGCAGGGAAUUCGCCGUAAAUUCUUGAUGACCAAGUUCUAGAAUCAGUCAAGGCUCGGCGCUGUACUGGUCGCUCUCUCUCGAUCACAGAAUCACCCAACCUCUUUGUUUUCUUCUCUGGUGACUGAGGAGGACUUAGAAGUCCGCCAGCGCCGAUAUAACUGGCUGCUUUCCGGAGAGAUCGAAGUUUAGCCUCUGUCGAUGAUUCCUCUCCGCUGUUAUCAUCCGAAUCGUCGUCGACCUGUUGCCUCAGAGGGCUGGAGAUAUGAACGACACUACUGCGAUAAGAUGAUCUAGAGAUCGCGCCUUGGCGUAGUGUUGAUGGGGAAGUAUCAGAAGCAAGUGAUCCGAACUCAGUCGGUGAAGAAGCCAGCAGCCUGGCAUGAUAUGAUUGCCGUCUCUGCGAAGCCGGGGCCUGUACGUUGACCGAACCUGGAAAACUCAUAGCGAGAUGCUCACGCAGAGGUCGAGGGGUCGAAGGCUAAGUUCAGGUUAGCACAUGCAAUGGAGGCGGAAUCCUGAUAAUGGCCUACAGGUAAAGAAUGCCGGCCUGCCCCAUCCCAGCCAGAGACGUAUGCCUCUGCAGCGAGUCUGGUUGAAAAUGUCUUCAGCGCGGGUUCCGGGUGGUCCUAAAGCAAAAAAUGGAAGUCAGUAUAUUCCGUGUCACUCAAGAGACCCUGCACCACUCACGGCAAUUUGCUUUUCGGCCUCUUGCCAGUCGGUAUAAACCCCCGAAGAAAAUCCUCGUCGGACUCCAAAGUAUAGGUAACGCUGUGCUGAUCGGGGUGGUCCGGCGUGGGGGAUGGAAGGAAGAGGGGGAAGACGAGAGAUGCGGCAGGAGGAUGCGGCGGGCGGAAGGGACUGGGGGGAGGAUUCUUGGGGGAGGAAGGAGGGAAGCGAGGCGAGAGAAGACAUGUUGGGCGAGUCUGGAAGGUUCACACUACCCAAAGGAGGACAACACACAGGCAAGUGUCCGUGCGUCGGCUUAUUAAGGCGUUGCAAGUAAAUGCGUAGGUAGGAUAGAAAGUAGAAAGCGCAACAAGGCAAUGUCCAGCGAGCGUUGAUAGUGCACGAUACAAGCGAGCAGCCAAUGCUCUUCUAAUAAGUGUCGCUCUGUCAAAGAG
rnacentral:sRNA from 1 species